rnacentral:rRNA from 1 species
CUGAUGGAGCAACACCGCGUGAGUUGAAGAAGGGUUUCGGCUCGUAAAGCUCUGUUGUUGGAGAAGAACGUGCGUGAGAGUAACUGUUCACGCAGUGACGGUAUCCAACCAGAAAGUCACGGCUAACUACGUGCCAGCAGCCGCGGUAAUACGUAGGUGGCAAGCGUUAUCCGGAUUUAUUGGGCGUAAAGCGAGCGCAGGCGGUUGCUUAGGUCUGAUGUGAAAGCCUUCGGCUUAACCGAAGAAGUGCAUCGGAAACCGGGCGACUUGAGUGCAGAAGAGGACAGUGGAACUCCAUGUGUAGCGGUGGAAUGCGUAGAUAUAUGGAAGAACACCAGCGGCGAAGGCGGCUGUCUGGUCUGCAACUGACGCUGAGGCUCGAAAGCAUGGGUAGCGAACAGGAUUAGAUACCCUGGUAGUCCAUGCCGUAAACGAUGAGUGCUAGGUGUUGGAGGGUUUCCGCCCUUCAGUGCCGGAGCUAACGCAUUAAGCACUCCGCCUGGGGAGUACGACCGCAAGGUUGAAACUCAAAGGAAUUGACGGGGGCCCGCACAAGCGGUGGAGCAUGUGGUUUAAUUCGAAGCUACGCGAAGAACCUUACCAGGUCUUGACAUCUU